rnacentral:rRNA from 1 species
AUGGCCAUUAUUUACUUGAUCUUGAUUGUCUAAAUGGAUAACUGKGGAAAAGCUAGAGCUAAUACAUGCACUAAAGCUUUGUCCUUACGGAAAAGCGCAUUUAUUARAACAAAACCMCGCGGCUUCGGCUGCUUCUUGUUGACUCARAAUAACUUAGCUGACCGCAUGGCCUUGUGCCGGCGGCGUGUCUUUCAAGCGUCCACUUUAUCAACUUGACGGGAGCAUAAUCGACUCCCGKGGKGGUGACGGAUAACGGAGGAUCAGGGUUCGACUCCGGARAAGGGGCCUGARAAAUGGCCMCUACGUCUAAGGAUGGCAGCAGGCGCGCAAAUUACCCACUCUCGGCUCGAGGAGGUAGUGACGAGAAAUAACGAGACUGUUCUCUUUGAGGCCGGUCAUCGGAAUGGGUACAAUUUAAACCCUUUAACGAGUAUCAAGCARAGGGCAAGUCUGGKGCCAGCAGCCGCGGUAAUUCCAGCUCUGCAAAUACAUAGAAUUAUUGCUGCGGUUAGAAAGCUCAUAGUUGGAUUCGUAUCGAUACCUUGGAACCCUUCGGGUGUCUCUAGGUGUUAUCGAUUUAUCGUAAUGUUCGGUUUUGAGUCCUUAACAGGAUUCUUAACAGGCAUUGCAAGUUUACUUUGAACAAAUCAGAGUGCUUCAAACAGGCGUUUUCGCUUGAAUGAUCGUGCAUGGAAUAAUAGAAAAUGAUUUCGGUUCAGUUUUAUUGGUUUUACGGACUGAGAUAAUGGUUAACAGAGACAAACGGGGGCAUUUGUAUGGUCCCGUGAGAGGUGAAAUUCUUGGACCGUGGCCAGACAAACUACAGCGAAAGCAUUUGCCAAGAAUGUUUUUAUUAAUCAAGAACGAAAGUCAGAGGUUCGAAGGCGAUCAGAUACCGCCCUAGUUCUGACCGUAAACGAUGCCAACUAGCGAUCCGCCGAUGGAAAUUAUAUUGCCUUGGUGGGGAGCUUCCCGGAAACGAAAGUCUUCCGGUUCCGGGGGAAGUAUGGUUGCAAAGCUGAAACUUAAAGGAAUUGACGGAAGGGCACCACCAGGAGUGGAGCCUGCGGCUUAAUUUGACUCAACACGGGGAAACUCACCCGGCCCGGACACUGUGAGGAUUGACAGAUUGAUAGCUUUUUCAUGAUUCAGUGGAUGGUGGUGCAUGGCCGUUCUUAGUUCGUGGAGUGAUUUGUCUGGUUUAUUCCGAUAACGAGCGAGACUCUAACCUACUAAAUAGUUGGUACAUACUCUUAGUGUAUACAGCUUCUUAGAGGGAUUUGCGGCGUUCAGCCGAAAGAAAUUGAGCAAUAACAGGUCUGUGAUGCCCUUAGAUGUCCGGGGCUGCACGCGCGCUACACUGGCAAAAUCAACGUGCUUGUCCUACCCUGAAAGGGGCGGGUAAACCAUUGAAAAUUUGCCGUGAUUGGGAUCGGAAAUUGCAAUUAUUUUCCGUGAACGAGGAAUUCCAAGUAAGUGCGAGUCAUCAGCUCGCGUUGAUUACGUCCCUGCCCUUUGUACACACCGCCCGUCGCUGCCCGGGACUGAGCCAUUUCGAGAAAUUUGGGGACCGUUGAUUUAAUUUUUCUAAAUUACUUUGAUGGAAACCAAUUUAAUCGCAGUGG